rnacentral:rRNA from 1 species
UACCAGCACCCCAAGUGGUCGGGACGUUUAUUGGGCCUAAAGCAUCCGUAGCCGGUUCUGCAAGUCUUCCGUUAAAUCCACCUGCUUAACAGAUGGGCCGCGGAAGAUACUAUAGAGCUAGGAGGCGGGAGAGGCAAGCGGUACUCGAUGGGUAGGGGUAAAAUCCGUUGAUCCAUUGAAGAACCACCAGUUGGCGAAGGCGGCUUGCCCAAUACGCGCUCGACGGUGAGGGAUGAAA